GACGAACGCUGGCGGCGUGCUUAACACAUGCAAGUCGAACGGAAAGGCCCUGCUUUUGUGGGGUGCUCGAGUGGCGAACGGGUGAGUAACACGUGAGUAACCUGCCCCUGACUUUGGGAUAACUUCAGGAAACUGGGGCUAAUACCGGAUAGGAGCUCCUGCUGCAUGGUGGGGGUUGGAAAGUUUCGGCGGUUGGGGAUGGACUCGCGGCUUAUCAGCUUGUUGGUGGGGUAGUGGCUUACCAAGGCUUUGAGGGGUAGCCGGCCUGAGAGGGUGACCGGCGACAUUGGGACUGAGAGAGGGACCAGACUCGUACGGGAGGCAACAGGGGGGAAUAUUGCACAAUGGGCGGAAGCCUGAUGCAGAAACGCCGCGUGCGGGAUGACGGCCUUCGGGUGGUGAACCGCUUUCGCCUGUGACGAACCGUGAGUGACGGUAAUGGGUAAAGAAGCACCGGCUAACUACGUG
rnacentral:rRNA from 1 species